rnacentral:rRNA from 1 species
UGGGGAAUAUUGCACAAUGGGCGCAAGCCUGAUGCAGCCAUGCCGCGUGUGUGAAGAAGGCCUUCGGGUUGUAAAGCACUUUCAGCGGGGAGGAAGGCGGUGAGGUUAAUAACCUCAUCGAUUGACGUUACCCGCAGAAGAAGCACCGGCUAACUCCGUGCCAGCAGCCGCGGUAAUACGGAGGGUGCAAGCGUUAAUCGGAAUUACUGGGCGUAAAGCGCACGCAGGCGGUCUGUCAAGUCGGAUGUGAAAUCCCCGGGCUCAACCUGGGAACUGCAAUCGGAACUGGCAGGCUAGAGUCUUGUAGAGGGGGGUAGAAUUCCAGGUGUAGCGGUGAAAAGCGUAGAGAUCUGGAGGAAUACCGGUGGCGAAGGCGGCCCCCUGGACAAAGACUGACGCUCAGGUGCGAAAGCGUGGGGAGCAAACAGG